rnacentral:rRNA from 1 species
AUCAUGGCUCAGAAUCAACGCGGGCGGCGCGCUUAACACAUGCAAGUCGCACGAGAAAGCGGGAGCAAUCUCGCAAGUACAGUGGCGUACGGGUGAGUAACACGUGGGUAAUCUACCCUUUAGUGGGGAAUAACGCUGGGAAACCGGCGCUAAUACCGCAUAAGCUCGAGAGAGGAAAGCAGCAAUGCGCUGAAGGAGGAGCCCGCGGCCGAUUAGCUGGUUGGUAGGGUAAGAGCCUACCAAGGCAUAGAUCGGUAGCCGGCCUGAGAGGGCACACGGCCACACUGGCACUGAAACACGGGCCAGACUCCUACGGGAGGCAGCAGUGGGGAAUCUUGCACAAUGGGGGAAACCCUGAUGCAGCGACGCCGCGUGAGCGAUGAAGCCCUUCGGGGUGUAAAGCUCUUUCGGCAGGGACGAUAAUGACGGUACCUGCAGAAGCAGCUGCGGCUAACUACGUGCCAGCAGCCGCGGUAAUACGUAGGCAGCGAGCGUUGUUCGGAGUUACUGGGCGUAAAGGGUGUGUAGGCGGUUUUCUAAGUUUGGUGUGAAAUCUCCCGGCUCAACCGGGAGGGUGCGCCGAAAACUGGGAGACUAGAGUGCGGGAUGGGAGAGUAGAAUUCCUGGUGUAGCGGUGAAAUGCGUAGAUAUCAGGAGGAAUACCGGUGGUGUAGACGGCUCUCUGGACCGCCACUGACGCUGAGACACGAAAGCGUGGGUAGCAAACAGGAUUAGAUACCCUGGUAGUCCACGCCCUAAACGAUGCAUAUUUGGUGUAGGUCAUUCAGUUGAUCUGUGCCGGAGCUAACGCGUUAAAUAUGCCGCCUGGGGAGUACAGUCGCAA